rnacentral:misc_RNA from 1 species
GCUGAAGAACGCAGCGAAAUGCGAUAUGUAGUGUGAAUUGCAGAUGUGAAUCAUCGAAUUUUUGAACGCAAAUUGCACUCUCUGGUAUUCCGGGGAGUAUGCCUGUUUGAGGGUCGUCUAAAUAAACCUCGAUUCAUUGCUUUUUUUUUAAGUUUAAUGUUAUUGGAUUUGAGUUUUCUUUUAUUCGUCUUAUAUAAAAGUGACUUGAAAUUUAUUUUUUUUUCGGUAUUAAUCGAAACGUAUUUUUAUAAUCAAUCUCGAUUAAAGAAACGUGUAAAUAUCAACUACCUUUUACGUAAUACGUUUGACUUAUUCAUCCGUAUACAAAUUCUUUUUUAGACCUCAAACAGGUAAGAAUACCCGCUGAACUUAAGCAUAUCAAUAAGCGGAGGA